UCCUACGGGAGGCAGCAGUAGGGAAUAUUGGACAAUGGGGGAAACCCUGAUCCAGCAAUGCCGCGUGAGUGAAGAAGGCCUUCGGGUUGUAAAGCUCUUUCAUCAAUGAUGAUAAUGACAUUAGUUGAAGAAGAAGCCCCGGCUAACUUCGUGCCAGCAGCCGCGGUAAUA
rnacentral:rRNA from 1 species